AUACGGAGGAUGCGAGCGUUAUCCGGAUUUAUUGGGUUUAAAGGGUGCGUAGGCGGUUUUUUAAGUCAGCGGUGAAACGCAAGGGCUCAACCCUCGGCCUGCCGUUGAAACUGGAGGACUUGACUGCGGAUGCUGUGGGAGGAAUGUGGGGUGUAGCGGUGUAAUGCAUAGCUAUCACACAGAACACCGAUUGCGAAGGCAUCUCACAAAUCCGUGAUUGACGCUGAGGCACGAAAGUGUGGGGAUCAAACAGGAUUAGAUACCCUGGUAGUCCACACUGUAAACGAUGAUGACUCGCUGUCGGCGAUAUACAGUCGGUGGCCAAGCGAAAGCGAUAAGUCAUCCACCUGGGGAGUACGACCGCAAGGUUGAAACUCAAAGGAAUUGACGGGG
rnacentral:rRNA from 1 species